ACCCUGAGAUCCCUGGGUCCCUGGCCGGAGCCGGGGACCCACACGUACCACCGGGGUGAAUCGGUCGGUGCGGCCGCCAGCGGCGGACGCAGCGACCGUAGGGCAAGCCUUCCGUCAGCGUCACCGCCCGAACCCGACAGCUAACCCGGUAGGCGGUCCACGGAAGGAGUC
rnacentral:sRNA from 2 species